AGAGUUUGAUCAUGGCUCAGAACGAACGCUGGCGGCGUGGAUUAGGCAUGCAAGUCGAACGAUGCCGCAAGGCAUAGUGGCAAAAGGGCGAGUAACACGUGGGUAACCUACCUCCGAAACUGGGAUAACUUUGCGAAAGCGAGGCUAAUACCGGAUAAGACCACGGUUCAUAAGGACUGUGGUAAAGGGAAGCCUCUAUUUAUAAGCUACCAUUUGGAGAGGGGCCUGCGUCCUAUCAGCUAGUUGGUGAGGUAACGGCCCACCAAGGCUAUUGACGGGUAGCUGGUCUAAGAGGAUGGUCAGCCGCACUGGGACUGAGACACUGCCCAGACUCCUACGGGAGGCUGCAGUCGAGAAUCUUUAGCAAUGCCCGAAAGGGUGACUAUGCGACGCCGCGUGAGCGAUGAAGGUCUUCGGAUUGUAAAGCUCUGUCAAGUGGGAUGAAUACCAUGCCCAUAACAUGGGUAUGGGAUGACAGUACCACUGGAGGAAGCCACGGCUAACUCCGUGCCAGCAGCCGCGGUAAUACGGAGGUGGCAAGCGUUGUUCGGAUUUAUUGGGUGUAAAGGGCAGGUAGGUGUCCUAGUAAGUUCUGGUUGAAAUCCUUCAGCUCAACUGGAGAACUGGUCAGAAAACUGCUAGGAUUGAGUGCGGAAGAGGAGAACGGAAUUCCCGGUGUAAGGGUGAAAUCUGUAGAUAUCGGGAAGAACACCAGUGGCGAAAGCGGUUCUCUAGUACGCUACUGACACUGAACUGCGAAAGCUAGGGGAGCAAACAGGAUUAGAUACCCUGGUAGUCCUAGCCGUAAACGAUGGGCACUAGGUGCGGGUUCGCAAGGGUCCGUGCCGCCGUUAACACAUUAAGUGCCCCACCUGGGGACUACGGCCGCAAGGUUGAAACUCAAAGAAAUUGACGGGGACCCGCACAAGCGGUGGAGCAUGUGGUUUAAUACGACGCUACGCGUGGAACCUUACCAGGAUUUGACAUGCACUUGAAAUCCCGAUGAAAGUCGGGACCUCCUUUAAAGACAGGUGCACAGGUGUUGCAUGGCUGUCGUCAGCUCGUGUCGUGAGAUGUUGGGUUAAGUCCCGCAACGAGCGCAACCAUUGUCUUUAGUUGCUAACCAGUAAUGGAGCACUCUAGAGAGACUGCCGGUGUUUUAACCGGAGGAAGGUGGAGAUGACGUCAAGUCAGUACGGCCCUUACAUCCUGGGCUACACACGUGCUACAAUGGUCGGUACAAAGGGCAGCAAAUCCGCGAGGAGGAGCAAAUCCCAAAAAGCCGACCUCAGUUCAGAUUGAAGGCUGCAAUUCGCCUUCAUGAAGUCGGAAUCGCUAGUAACCGCGCAUCAGCUACGGCGCAGUGAAUACGUUCCCGGGUCUUGUACACACCGCCCGU
rnacentral:rRNA from 1 species